rfam:Pseudomonas alkylphenolica strain KL28 chromosome, complete genome.
GCGGACGUGGUGAAAUUGGUAGACACACUGGAUUUAGGUUCCAGCGGCGCAAGCUGUAAGAGUUCGAGUCUCUUCGUCCGCA